AGGCGAAUGCGUUCGGAUACAGGAAAAGAAUAAUGCCAAGUUCAACUUGGAAUAAAAUGUGCAGCUAACUUGUAAUAGUAUAGUUUGAUAAUAAUGUUAUAUGUUAGAUAGUUUAUGAAUUGUGUAUAAGUUAAGGUUACUCGAUUUUGGGGAAUAGUGUGUAAAGUGUAUUAUAUAAACAAUUUAUGUUUAUAUCUUCCGCAAUUAGUUAUAGAAUGAAAUUACCAGAUAUGUGGUGAUUAGGACCCGGAUUUGGGGCUCUCACAGUCAUGUCGUCGGCGAAGCUCUUGAUGACAUAAGAGCGAGUACAAUUUUGAAUCCAUGGUGGGACGAGAAAGAGAAGAUAGACGAAGAGCCCAUUGUGUGUGACAAGCUUCUAUGCCCCAAAGUGAUCAUAUACACUAUGGAGAAAACACCUAGCUGUGGGACGUUCUUGAUUGAGAUCAUACCAAAUCAGAGCAUGCUAGGUGACUUUGAUGCAUUGUCCAUCACAAAUGGGAACAUACCAAAAGCUAUAUUAUUUCUGAUGGAUGGAGGGUUCCUCAAUUAUCGAAGAGGAAUUGGAUAGCGUUGACCAGAC
rnacentral:lncRNA from 1 species